UACGUAGGGGGCAAGCGUUGUCCGGAUUUAUUGGGCGUAAAGAGCGUGUAGGCGGCCUGAAAGGUCAGCUGUGAAAACUCGAGGCUCAACCUCGAGACGUCGGUUGAAACCAUCUGGCUAGAGUCCGGAAGAGGAGUGUGGAAUUCCCGGUGUAGCGGUGAAAUGCGCAGAUAUCGGGAGGAACACCUGUGGCGAAAGCGGCGCACUGGACCAUAACUGACGCUGAUGCGCGAAAGCUAGGGGAGCAAACAGG
rnacentral:rRNA from 1 species